AUUGAACGCUGGCGGCAUGCCUUACACAUGCAAGUCGAACGGCAGCGCGGGGCAACCUGGCGGCGAGUGGCGAACGGGUGAGUAACAUAUCGGAACAUACCCUAGAGUGGGGGAUAACGUAGCGAAAGUUACGCUAAUACCGCAUACGCACUAAGGUGGAAAGUGGGGGAUCUUCGGACCUCAUGCUCAUGGAGUGGCCGAUAUCUGAUUAGCUAGUUGGUGAGGUAAAGGCUCACCAAGGCGACGAUCAGUAGCUGGUUUGAGAGAACGACCAGCCACACUGGAACUGAGACACGGUCCAGACUCCUACGGGAGGCAGCAGUGGGGAAUUUUGGACAAUGGGGGCAACCCUGAUCCAGCAAUGCCGCGUGAGUGAAGAAGGCCUUCGGGUUGUAAAGGCUCUUUUGUUCUAGGGAAG
rnacentral:rRNA from 1 species